GAUGAACGCUGGCGGCGUGCCUAAUACAUGCAAGUCGAGCGAACGGACGCGAAGCUUGCUUCUCUGAUGUUAGCGGAGGACGUGUGAGUAACACGUGGAUACCCUACCUAUAAGACUGGGAUAACUUCGGGACACCGGAUCUAAUACCGGAUGAUAUUUUGAACCGCAUGGUUCAAAAGUGAAAGACGGUCUUGCUGUCACUUCUAGAUGGAUCUGCGCUGCAUUAGCUAGUUGGUAAGGUAAUGGCUUAUCAAGGCAACGAUGCAUAGCCGAACUGCGAGGGUGAUAGGCCACACGGGAACUUGGACGCGGUCCUGACUCCUGCGGUAGGCAGCAGUAGGGAAUCGGACGCAGUGGGCGAGAGCCUUACGGAGCAACGCCGCGUGAGUUAUGGAGGUCUUGGGAUCGGAAAACUCUGUUAUGAGGGAAGAACAUAUGUGGAAGGAACUGUAGACAGCUUGACGGUACCUAAUAAGAAAGCCACGGCUAACUACGUG
rnacentral:rRNA from 1 species